rnacentral:rRNA from 1 species
UCUGGUUCAGGACGAACGCUGGCGGCGUGCCUAAUACAUGCAAGUCGAACGGUCUUUCUAUGGAAGCUUGCUUCCACUGAGAAGAUAGUGGCGAACGGGUGAGUAACACGUGGGUAACCUGCCCAUAAGAGGGGGAUAACAUCCGGAAACGGGUGCUAAUACCGCAUAGUUUUCUUGAUCGCAUGAUUGAGAAAGGAAAGACGGCCUUUGUGCUGUCGCUUAUGGAUGGACCCGCGGCGUAUUAGUUAGUUGGUGAGGUAACGGCUCACCAAGACGAUGAUACGUAGCCGACCUGAGAGGGUGAUCGGCCACAUUGGGACUGAGACACGGCCCAAACUCCUACGGGAGGCAGCAGUAGGGAAUCUUCCGCAAUGGACGAAAGUCUGACGGAGCAACGCCGCGUGAGUGAAGAAAGGUUUUCGGAUCGUAAAACUCUGUUGUCAGAGAAGAACAAGUUGGAGAGUAACUGCUCCAGCCUUGACGGUAUCUGACCAGAAAGCCACGGCUAACUACGUGCCAGCCGCAGC